rnacentral:lncRNA from 1 species
GUUUGGUUUGCCAUCACUUUUUGUGACUUUUCUGACAUCUGCAAGUGUCGGAAGUGUGACCUGAAACAUUUAAGGACACUUCUGCCUGAACCAUGGGCAGAUGUUUAGACUCCAAGAUACAGAGGAGGAGGGUCUUGGAGGUUUCUUAGUAUAAGUUCCUCCCUGUGGUACUUGCAGUUCCUACAAGGGGCUGUCAGAGAAACAAGCCGGAGCAGAAGAGCAAGACAUGGUCCUGGUGCAUGAAAGGAGCCUAAGAAAGAAGAGUGAAAGCUGCACGUGUUCUACCUCCAGAAAGCCAUAAAAGAGAAAAGAAUGUUGUACCAAACUAAGCAAAUGAAGCAUGAAAUGAAAAGCCGGUUGAGCUGGGAGGUAUAAAGAAUGGAAAGGAAGCAGCUACCACCCCUGGUAACCCCAUCAAUCCGGAGAAGCUUCGCAGAGUUACACUGUGCUCUGUCGGAGGAAGUCUAAAAUAACACAUGGGUGUCUCGGCCUUGGCACAGCUAAACCCUGGAACAUUGAACUGAAGUCAUAACAAUGGGUAAUAUUUUAAUAUAAUGAAAAAUUAUCAUUAACUUUUCUCGACAGGAAGGAAAUGAAUUUUCCUCAUUGUACACAUUCCGAGAAAAAUGAGGCUAAGACUAUUUCAAAGGAUGUUCUACCUAAUUCGAAUGGGCUUUAAGUGCCAUCUUCACAAUAGCGCCAGAGUCUGGUGUCAGCAAACUGAACAAAUAGAGCUACAGGGAGCGAAUGGGGCUGGGUGCCUCUCCAAAACAUAUGCAGAUGAACUUGAGAUUUCAGAGGACGGUUAAUCCUACACAGCAGUCAAGUGCCUUCCCAGGGGUAUGUCUCAGAUCUCAGAGCAUCCUGGCAGGCAUCCACUGUGCCAUAUGCUUUCGGGAAGUCUGGAUGCUGAAUGUGGUGGCUGUGGGGAAUUGAGCCUUAUUGCUUCAUAAGAUUCCUGGUGGUAGAACUAUUCUGAACAAGAACACGUCCGUCCCCAUAGGUGUGCUCCAAGAAUCACAGAAUAAGAAGGGACUUCGGAGAGAGCCUCACACAGUUGGGCAAUGGGAGCCCAGAGAGGCAAGGAAGGCUCCUUGCCCAAAGUCUUGUACAUCUGAAUCUGCAACUCCUGACUAUUUUUGAGUCUUAUGCUCCAGGCUAAAACUUGUGACUUUAAGUGUGAUGUUCUCGGUGAUGAUUAAUCUAGGAUGUUUCUGUUGUUUUCUUACCGUCAAAGAAUUAACAUCAAAAGGAAAGGAAGGAAGAAAUGUAGAAGUGAAGGCAAGAAGGAAGGAAGGAGGAAAGGAAGGAAGGAAAAUAUAGGCUUUGGGUAAAAAUAAGUUUCUACUCAACACUGACAAAGGUACAGGUUUUGGACAUUGGUUUCCUAAUCUGUAAAUGAGGAAUAGUCAUCACAUCGCUGUCCUGGCUGGUUUUGUGUGUCAACUUGACACAAGCUGGAGUUAUCACAGAGAAAGGAAAGAAAAUGCCUCCAUGAGAUCUAGCUGUAAAUGGAUUAGUGAUCAAGAGUGGGAGGGCCCAGUGUGGGUGGUGCCAUCCCUGGACUGGUGGUCCUGGGUUCUACAAGAAAACAAGCUGAGCAAGCCAGGGGAAGCAAGCCAGGGGAACAUCCCUCCACGGCUCUGCAUCAGCUCCUGCUUCCUGCCCUGUGUGAGUUCCAGUCCUGACUUCCUUUGGUGACGAACAGCAAUGUGAUAGUAUAAGCUGAAUAAACCCUUUCCUCCCCAAC